GACGAACGCUGGCGGCGUGCUUAACACAUGCCAGUCGAACGGAAAGGCCCUGCUUUUGUGGGGUGCUCGAGUGGCGAACGGGUGAGUAACACGUGAGUAACCUGCCCUUGACUUUGGGAUAACUUCAGGAAACUGGGGCUAAUACCGGAUAGGAGCUCCUGCUGCAUGGUGGGGGUUGGAAAGUUUCGGCGGUUGGGGAUGGACUCGCGGCUUAUCAGCUUGUUGGUGGGGUAGUGGCUUACCAAGGCUUUGACGGGUAGCCGGCCUGAGAGGGUGACCGGCCACAUUGGGACUGAGAUACGGCCCAGACUCCUACGGGACGCAGCAGUGGGGAAUAUUGCACAAUGGGCGGAAGCCUGGUGCAGCAACGCCGCGUGCGGGAUGACGGCCUUCGGGUUGUAAUCCGCUUUCGCCUGUGACGAAGCGUGAGUGACGGUAAUGGGUAAAGAAGCACCGGCUAACUACGUG
rnacentral:rRNA from 1 species